GUAAAUUGUUUCUAAAACUUCAUUCCUAUCAAAUUGGAUUAAAAUGUUUAAGAGAUUUGAUUUGCUAACUUAACAGCAUUAAUGUAUCUAGCUUAAGGUCUGUAUGAGUUUGCUAGGUUUGGAUAACAAUACUGCACAAACUAUGUGGCUUAGAAAGAAGUUCAUUGGGGCUGGGGUUGUAGCUCAGUGCUUGCCUCACACACAUGAGGCUCUGGGUUUGAUCCUCAGCACUACAUAAAAAAUAAAUACAUAAAGUAAAGGUCAGUUUACAACUAAAAAAUUAAAAUUUAAAAAAAAAAUCAUUGCUCCAUGGUUCUGGAGGCUGGAGGUUUGGGAACAAGGCAUUGGCAGGGUUGGUUCCUUCUGAGGCCUGUGAGGAAGAAUCUGUUUCUGGCCUGCUCCCUGGCUUCUGCUGGAUUACUGGCAAUUUUUGGCUUUCCUUGGUUCACCCUGAUCUCUGCCUUCGUGUUCACAUGACAUUCUCCCUGUGUGCCUCUGUUAGUCUGAACAUCCCCCUUUUUAAGGACACUAGUCAUAUUGGAUUAGGGCCCAACCUGAUGACCUCAUCUUAAUUAAUUACAUGUGUAAGGGCCUGGUUUCCAAGUAAAGUCACAUUUUGAAGUACUAGGGGUUAGGACUUCACCAUAAGAAUUUUGGAAGGACGCAGUGCAACACAGCAAGGCCAAUAUCUGCUUCUCUUUUACCUCUUCUUUCCUUUGAACUUUUUCUUCUUUUUGGUACUAGAGAUUGAACCCAGGGCCAGUUUACCCUACAUCAUCCCCAGUUCUUUUAACUUAUUUUGAGAUAGGGUCCCGCUAAGUUGCUGAGGCUGGGCUUAAACUUGAGAUCCUCCCUGUUCGGCCUUCUGAGUUACUGGGAUUAUACAUGUGUACCACCAUGCCUAGCUAAACUUUUUAUUUUUUAGUUGUGAACUUUAACUCUGUGGAGUUAACACCACCCUUUGUACU
rnacentral:lncRNA from 1 species